UACCAACCCGAUGCAAACUGCGAAUACCGAAGAGUAAUGCAUAGGAGACACACGGUGGGUGCUAACGUCCAUCGUGGAGAGGGAAACAACCCAGACCGCCAGCUAAGGUCCCAAAGUCUAUAUUAAGUGGGAAACGAAGUGGGAAGGCUUAGACAGCUAGGAUGUUGGCUUAGAAGCAGCCAUCAUUUAAAGAAAGCGUAAUAGCUCACUAGUCGAGUCGGCCUGCGCGGAAGAUGUAACGGGGCUAAAAUAUAGCACCGAAGCUGCGGCAUCAGACGUAUCACUAAUACGCCUUACGAUUAACAACAUCGAAUGAAGUGAAACGGAAAGAGAUGUUGGUCAAGCAACCCGAACGUUGAGUCGGAAAGUAAUCGAAGAGAGGAUUAUUAGUGAUACGUCUGUUGGGUAGGGGAGCGUUGUGUAAGCGGAUGAAGGUGAAUCGAGAGGUUUGCUGGACGUAUCACAAGUGCGAAUGCUGACAUAAGUAACGAUAAAACGAGUGAAAAACUCGUUCGCCGGAAGACCAAGGGUUCCUGUCCAACGUUAAUCGGGGCAGGGUGAGUCGGCCCCUAAGGCGAGGCUGAAAAGCGUAGUCGAUGGGAAACGGGUUAAUAUUCCCGUACUUGGUAAAGCUGCGAUGUGGGGACGGAGAAGGUUAGGUUAGCAGACUGUUGGAUGUCUGUUUAAGUUGGUAGGUGGGGAGUUUAGGCAAAUCCGGACUUCCAUAACACUGAGAGAUGAUGACGAGUUUCUACGGAAAUGAAGUAACUGAUACCACGCUUCCAGGAAAAGCCACUAAGCGAAAGGCUUUACUAAACCGUACUGAAAACCGACACAGGUGGUCAGGUAGAGAAUACUCAGGCGCUUGAGAGAACUCGGGUGAAGGAACUAGGCAAAAUAGCACCGUAACUUCGGGAGAAGGUGCGCUGGCGUAGGUUGUAGGAGUAUACCUCCGAAGGCUGAACCAGUCGAAGAUACCAGCUGGCUGCAACUGUUUAUUAAAAACACAGCACUCUGCAAACACGAAAGUGGACGUAUAGGGUGUGAUGCCUGCCCGGUGCUGGAAGGUUAAUUGAUGGUGUUAUCGAAAGAGAAGCUCCUGAUCGAAGCCCCAGUAAACGGCGGCCGUAACUAUAACGGUCCUAAGGUAGCGAAAUUCCUUGUCGGGUAAGUUCCGACCUGCACGAAUGGCAUAAUGAUGGCCAGGCUGUCUCCACCCGAGACUCAGUGAAAUUGAAAUCGCCGUGAAGAUGCGGUGUACCCGCGGCUAGACGGAAAGACCCCGUGAACCUUUACUAUAGCUUGACACUGAACAUUGAAUUUUGAUGUGUAGGAUAGGUGGGAGCCUAAGAAGCAGUCACGCCAGUGAUUGUGGAGGCGUCCUUGAAAUACCACCCUUUAACGUUUGAUGUUCUAACGAAGAUUGCUAAACGCGGUCUCGGACAGUGUCUGGUGGGUAGUUUGACUGGGGCGGUCUCCUCCCAAAGAGUAACGGAGGAGCACGAAGGUUUGCUAAUCACGGUCGGACAUCGUGAGGUUAGUGCAAUGGUAUAAGCAAGCUUAACUGCGAGACAGACAAGUCGAGCAGGUGCGAAAGCAGGUCAUAGUGAUCCGGUGGUUCUGAAUGGAAGGGCCAUCGCUCAACGGAUAAAAGGUACUCCGGGGAUAACAGGCUGAUACCGCCCAAGAGUUCAUAUCGACGGCGGUGUUUGGCACCUCGAUGUCGGCUCAUCACAUCCUGGGGCUGAAGUAGGUCCCAAGGGUAUGGCUGUUCGCCAUUUAAAGUGGUACGCGAGCUGGGUUUAGAACGUCGUGAGACAGUUCGGUCCCUAUCUGCCGUGGGCGUUGGAGAAUUGAGAGGGGCUGCUCCUAGUACGAGAGGACCGGAGUGGACGCAUCACUGGUGUACCAGUUGUCUCGCCAGAGGCACUGCUGGGUAGCUAAAUGCGGAAGAGAUAAGUGCUGAAAGCAUCUAAGCACGAAACUCGCCUUAAGAUGAGUUCUCCCAGUCUAUAAGACUGUAAGGGUUGUUGGAGACUACGACGUAGAUAGGUCUGGUGUGUAAGCGGUGUGAGCCGUUGAGCUAACAGAUACUAAUUGCCCGAGAGGCUUAACUAUACAACCUCAAGCGUU
rnacentral:rRNA from 1 species